rnacentral:rRNA from 1 species
UACGAAGGGGGGCUAGCGUUGCUCGGAAUGACUGGGCGUAAAGGGUGCGCAGGCGGUCGGGUGUGUCAGAUGUGAAAUCCCGAGGCUCAACCUCGGAACUGCGUCUGAAACUACUCGACUAGAGUACUGGAGAGGGUAACGGAAUUCACGGUGUAGCAGUGAAAUGCGUAGAUAUCUGGAGGAACACCGGUGGCGAAGGCGGCAUCCUGGACCGGCAUUGACGCUGAGGCGCGAAAGCCAGGG